AAUGAACGCUAGCGGCAGGCCUAAUACAUGCAAGGCGAACGGGAUUAAGGAGCUUGCUUCUUAUGAGAGUGGCGCACGGGUGCGUAACACGUAUGCAACCUACCUUCAACUGGGGGAUAGCCUUCCGAAAGGGAGAUUAAUACCGCAUAACAUAAUUGAGUGGCAUCCCUUGAUUCUCAAACGGCAGGGUUGAAGAUGGGCAUGCGUCCGAUUAGUUAGUUGGUGAGGUAACGGCUCACCAAGGCUACGAUCGGUAGGGGAUCUGAGAGGAUGGCCCCCCACACUGGUACUGAGACACGGACCAGACUCCUACGGGAGGCAGCAGUAAGGAAUAUUGGUCAAUGGACGGAAGUCUGAACCAGCCAUGCCGCGUGCAGGAAGACGGUCCUCUGGAUUGUAAACUGCUUUUGUUAGGGAAGAAACUUCCGUACGUGUACGGGACUGACGGUACCUAAAGAAUAAGGAUCGGCUAACUCCGUGCCAGCAGCCGCGGUAACAC
rnacentral:rRNA from 1 species